GCCCAGCACCGAAGCCUGUGGUUGUUUAAUCAUUAGGCAAUGUGGUGUUUAGGUUUGUUUUGCGAAGUUGUCGCUUUACUCAAAGUCCAGUUAUGAAAACGGUUCAUGACAUGGCCCAAAGAGGGUGAAAGGCCCGUGUGAGUAAAGAUUCCGCCGAUAACUUCCUGAAUAAACCUUGGAGUCGGGUUGUUUGAGAAUGCAGCCCAAAGUGGGUGGUAAACUCCAUCCAAGGCUCAAUACUGGCACGAGUCCGAUAGCGAACAAGUACCGUGAGGGAAAGUUGAAAAGUACUCUGAAGAGAGAGUAAACAGUACGUGAAACCGCUCAGAGGUAAACGGGUAGAGUUGAACUGCAAGCCCGAAAGAUUCAGCUGUCGUAAGUUUGAGUUCGAUGCCAUGCUGAGACGUUAUGCAAGACAUGGUUAUCUGAAGCUUACUUCGCAGUGCACUUCUUUCGUGGUGUUCACCACGACCGAUGCUGCUGUCUGUCCGCUAUAGUCAAACCGUCCGAACUCGGUCCUUGUGGCCUUGCUUGGACGGCAUGGCAGGUAGCUGGUAGGCUUUCGGGCCUAUCAGUGUAAUCGCCGGUUAUAGUUUAUCGGAUCUGUGCAGUGCAUCGGAGAUGGCGGCCUUAAUAGUGCCAAUAGUCUGUGGUGUAGUGGUAAACUCUCUACCCGACCCGUCUCGAAACACGGACCAAGGAGUUUAACAUGUAUGCGAGUCAUUGAGUGAACGAAACUCACAGGCGCAAUGAAAGUAAAAGUUUGGCUUGUCUGAACUGAGGUGAGAUCCGUCUUAUCGGUUUUUCCGACUAUAGGCGGCGCAUCACCGGCCCGUCCCAUGGUGUGGUUAUAACUUCACGCGAGUUGUACAUCACCGGGGUGGAGCAUGAGCAUACAUGUUGAGACCCGAAAGAUGGUGAACUAUGCUUGUGUAGUUCGAAGCCAGAGGAAACUCUGGUGGAAGAUCGCAGCGAUUCUGACGUGCAAAUCGAUCGUCAAACAUG
rnacentral:rRNA from 1 species